GCUAAUGAAGGGAGCCAGGCAAUCAAGCCUCCCAGAAGUGGGGAAAAGAAGAGGGAAGGAAGAAAGGGCUGCUGCCGGAAAAAGAGGGGAAUGGGCCAGGCAAGGCUGGGAGAAGGGAGAGGAGAACCAAAUGGGGGCUCCUGAGGUUCACUCUGCCCCACUACCAGCCCCGCAUCCCUUCGUGGUGCAGCUGUGAGGCUCUAGAGAGAUGCUGUUACCUGUUGGGCAACAUCUGCAGCAUCCUUGGCAGAUGUGCUGAGGUAGCUGGGUACCACAUUGAGGAAGAUGAGGAUGCUGUCCACAGAACUGCAAGGAAGGCUCACGGUUUCUGAGAACGUCCAGCUCAACCUCUGCAGAGCACAGUGCUGAGCCCGGGCUCAUGGGCUGUGCUCUGCCACAGUAUUUGCCCCAGGAAUUGUAAAAGUGCUGCACAGGCAAGGGCUCCAUGCAGAGCAGAAAGCUCCUUGGGGCAGGAUUUCCAGCGCUGCUGGACCGGGAUCCCACGUGGGGUGGAGGCACCCGAGGGCGGUGCUGAGGCCGUGCAGCUGAGGACAUCUCCUUGCCGGGAAGCCAAGCAGAAAGGACGGCUUACAGGUGGCAGUCGGGCAACAAAUAACACAGUGGAAGACAGACGUGAUUCCAGCCAGAUGGGGAAACAGCAACAAACAAUCUGUCUCCGGCAGAGGAGCCCCGACAGCCCCAGCCACCACAGAGAGGGGAGCACCCUUGAGGAGAGGAGCUGUGUUUUGAGGCAUUGAGAGCUGCCUGUACUCCCCCCUUGCCUGCUAAGCCCCAGGCACAGCUGAUUGAUGAAUGGGCUCUCGACAUGAUUGAUCUCAUUGACAGUGUGAAACAUGGUGAUUACCUGGUGCUGGCAGAUUUUCCUAAGUGUAGCUCACGCAGGCACAGGACGUUUGUGCCAUUAUCGUUAUUAACUCCAUUGUUAACGACUAAUCUAUGCAAAGAUUUGGCCUGGCCUCCUUCAAACACAGGAGGCGGCUGCUGCGUUCACGCUGGAGAUGGACCCGUGCGAGAGGAAAGGGGAUUUUUAUCCAUUUAAUUUUUUUUUUUUUUUUUGGUAGUCUAUUUAUGGAGGUGAGCAUCCCCCAGGCAUUCCUGCUUGCAUCCUUGUCCAUUCAGCCGUGGGUGCUCAACAUUUCUGGGUGGUGAUGACGAGGUAUUUCAGGAGCUCUGCCCCAUCCACUCCCAUUAAAAUCCACCGCAGGUCUCAGCUUUCCCUGAAAGAAAAAAGUCCAAACCUCUUUUUAUAAUGUUUUCUCUUCUACCAUUUGCCAAAUCUAAAUUUCAGCCCAGAAACUUAAGCACAAUAAAUGAGCCUUUUGCUUGCAGACCCCCCUGGAGCACAGUCGGCAUUUCCUCCUUUGAAAGCAGCAGUCAGCUGAGACCUAAUCAGCGUCUUUCCAAAGAGGGAAAAAAAAAAUAUAAAUAAACCUUGUACCAAGGCGUUGUAGCUGAUGCUCAAGUUAGGGGAUCAUUUAGGGGAUGAUUUAUUGAAUAGCAAGCAGGUAAAAGGGAGAUUGGGCUGAGGGGGGACAGGCAUGAGAAAACAGGAGGGAUUUAGCAGCAAGGUAAAAAUAGCCUAAAAAUGUGGCAAAUGAGAAAAUAGCGACAGUUGCCAUCCCCACAAGGAUGAGUUAAAAUCCUGGCUGGCGUAACUCAGCGGAGAGCCCGGGAAGCCAAUGGAGCUGCAGUAAUUUACAAUAACUGCUGGUUUGGUUCAAUUUAAAUAGCUCCGCUUUAUGAAUACCGGGAAUGCGUGUGCGGAAGAGGAGAGGAGAGUUGGGAAGGUUUUUAUUUACACUGCAGCUUAGAAGCUGCUUAAACUGAUUUGGAAGCAGGUGAAUAAUUAAUUGCAUCUUUAAGGAAUCGAGCUGUUAAUAAUACUCCCCACAGUGGCAGUUUAUAAAUGUUCCUGUCAGGGUGGAACAUGGAGCAUCGCUGAGGGAAGGUGCUGGGGGGAGGAAAAGCCUCGAGGAAACUGUUCCCCCCACUCCCCCUGCCUGCAAAAUGAAUUAAAGUUGCCAUUUUUUUCUGCCAUCCAGCUGUUUCUGACACCUGGAUGUCAAAUCAAUAUUAUAAUGACAGCACCACAGCCAAAAAUUUUUAAAAUAAGGAAUUUUUUUUUAAAAGUCCUAUUACUACAUGGAAAAUAUUUGUAUUGCCUCCCACUCUCCAGGGUACAGCCUGUUAAUUGGGCACAAAGGGUAGGAUCUACCUGGAGCCUGCAGAACCCAUUAGGGAAGUAGCUGGUAAUGUUAUGAUGGAAUUGGGUAAACAGGUUCUGCGAGGGGAAGAGAGUCCUGAGCAGUGCAGGGGUUGGUCUCUCCUGCUUCUGGACAGCCCAGGACCUCUUGUUGCAUCCAUCCAUCCCCUCCCUCCCUGUCACCCGGAGGUGCUUGCAGAAGGGGAUGGAUGAGCAAACAGCUGCCUUUGCACCACUUUCCCCAGUUAAUCACCCCCAGCCAAGAGAAUCUAAAGCUGGACUAGCCAGCACAGGACUACAGGGAUUAAACCAGCAAAAAACCUCCAGAGCCAGGAGUUUUGGGAAAAAUCUAAAAGCUUGCACUUCAGCAUGGGAAUAAACUUAUAAUGAGUUGGGAAGCAAAAGCUGGUUCCUUCAGGGAAUCGUUGGCUGGGAUAAGGAUUUGGCUGUGGAAAAUGGUGCAAGUGGCCACAGCAGGGCAGGGGCUGGAUGGGGACAUCACCAAGCAUGCCCAGCCCCAGGGUGGCAACAGCCCCUCCAUUCCCACCCAGGAUGGGGGCAAGAAUAUCCGAGGUUUUGCUCAUGCUCUCUUUUGGUGUUUUCUUGCCUCUUUAUUCCAGCUGGGGUCAAACCAAUCACUCACCUCUCCAGUCUUUCAAGCCACAUCCCAGGACCUGUGUACAGGGUAGAGGGCAAGGGAGCUCCACACUGAUGCUCCCAGCCCACCUCUGAGGUGGAAAAUCAGCACCUGCAGAGCCCUGCCUCGUUUUCCAUGAUUAAUCAGUUUGCUUGAGAGCAGCAGGACUCCCACCCUCAUCCAUCCCCCCUGACAGCCACGUGUGAAGGCUGACGUUAAUCAGAUAAAUUCCUUUGCAGUAGCACCAACAAUUUUUCUAAAGCACGGUCUCCCUGGAGCUACUAAUAAUUACUCCAGAUCCAGACAUUAAAGCACCACCAAAAAAAUGUUUUUAAUUAAAAAAUUAAUUUUUCUGACAGACCCACUGACACUAAACUUGGAACAGCACAGCAUCCAUCAGGAGGGAGAGGGAUGACAAUGACCUGCUCACAAGCCUCUGCUGGGAAAGGGAAGGGAGAAGGGUGGCAUCCCUCAGGGCUUUGGAGGAGCUAUCCCAUCUCCAAAGGUCCUGUAAUGUCCCCGCUCUGUACAAGACGUCUCAAAUGGGGCAGAGUUAAGGUGGUGCCCAGCUUGGUGAUUGCCAUCCCAGUCGCACCUUUCCCAAAAAACCUCUCUGCGCUGCUGGCAGGAGGGGCCAGGGAAGAACUCUAUUCCCAAGUGCCGUCUCCCUAAGCCUCUGGGAAUGGUAUCCCACUGGCAGGACACCCUCAGCCUCAGCAGGUUCAGGAAGAGCCCUACAGAAUCAUCACCUGAACACUCCAGCCAGGCUGGAUUCAUUAUCCCUGGGCUGGGAGGGGAGAGGAGGGGAGAGAAUGGAAAUAAAAUGCGUCAUCAGUGGAAAAAACAUCCAUUGCCUCAAAGGGGUUUUGAUGGGGAAAGGGGGGAGAGGAAAAGGUUCAGAUUGUCUCAGGCCAAAAUGACAGUAGCCAAACUGAGAUGCAGCCACAGCAAUACAGAGUCUAGUGCUAAAAAAAACCCUGGUAUGAUGCUCUGGCAGGAUCUAAACCAAUUCCUGGGGUUACAGCCCCAACUUUUUCUGCCUAACCACAGCAAUGCUUGAGCUCUCCUUCUCUCUGGCUGCCUCUCACCCAGGGGGCUCAGGCUCAAAAUAUAAUGAACCUCUUCCCUUGCCCUUCCCAGCACCAAGGUUUGCAGAAGAGGGUAAUGAGCGUCCCUGUCUCGCAGGGGCUAGGGAUGUUUUACACGAGGCUGGCGGAGGAACGUGGCCGGCAGUGCACCGCUAACAAAAGAUGCUUUAUUGCAGGAGGAUGAAAGGCA